rnacentral:tRNA from 1 species
GGUGGCGUAGCCAAGUGGUCUAAGGCGCUGGUUUGCAAAACCAGUAUUCAUGGGUUCGAAUCCCAUCGCCACCU